rnacentral:rRNA from 1 species
GACGAACGCUGGCGGCGUGCUUAACACAUGCAAGUCGAACGAUGAACCCGGAGCUUGCUCUGGGGGAUUAGUGGCGAACGGGUGAGUAACACGUGAGUAACCUGCCCUGGACUCUGGGAUAAGUGUUGGAAACGACGUCUAAUACCGGAUAGGACCUUGGACUGCAUGGUCUGGGGUGGAAAGUUUUUUCGGUCUGGGAUGGACUCGCGGCCUAUCAGCUUGUUGGUGGGGUAAUGGCUUACCAAGGCGUUGACGGGUAGCCGGCCUGAGAGGGUGACCGGCCACACUGAGACGGAGACACAGCCGAGACUGAUACGUGAGGCAGGAGUGGGUGAGAUUGCUCGAAGAGCGGAAGCAAGAUGCAGCAACGCCGCGUGCGUGAUGACUGCCUGCGGGUUGUAUGCCGCUUUUAGUAGGGAGGAAGGGCGUCGGCUUGACGGUAACUGCAGAAAAAGGACCGGCUAACUACGUG